GUCCCUGAAGCGUAAUGGAUAGCGCGGUGGACUUCUAAUUCGAAGGUCGUGGGUUCGAUUUCCACCUGGGAUG